AGAGUUGAUCCUGGCUUAGAUUGAACGCUGGCGGCGUGCUUAACACAUGCAAGUCGCGCGUGAAAGGACUUCGGUCCGAGUAAAGCGGCGCACGGGUGAGUAACGCGUGGAUGAUCUACCCAUGAGUUAGGAAUAACGGCUGGAAACGGUCGCUAAUACCAAAUACGCUCCGAUUUCAACUUCGGGGGAAAGGUGGCCUCUGCUUGCAAGCUACUGCUCAUGGAUGAGUCCGCGUCCCAUUAGCUAGUUGGUGGGGUAACGGCCCACCAAGGCGACGAUGGGUAGCCGGUCUGAGAGGAUGACCGGCCACACUGGGACUGGAACACGGCCCAGACUCCUACGGGAGGCAGCAGUGGGGAAUAUUGCGCAAUGGGCGAAAGCCUGACGCAGCGACGCCGCGUGAGGGAAUGAAGGUCCUCGGAUCGUAAACCUCUGUCAGGAGGGAAGAACCGCCACGGUGCUAAUCAGCCGUGGUCUGACGGUACCUCCAAAGGAAGCACCGGCUAACUCCGUGCCAGCCGCUGC
rnacentral:rRNA from 1 species